AUGAGUAUAGCCGCGCGGCUAUACUAUUUCUCAAAAUUUUAAAAAAAGAAUAUGGUAUAGCCGCGCGGCUAUACUAUACAU
rnacentral:miRNA from 1 species